rnacentral:rRNA from 1 species
GACAGAGGUGGCAAGCGUUGUCCGGAAUUACUGGGCGUAAAGAGCGCGUAGGUGGCUAGAUAAGUCCGGUGUGAAAUCCUUCGGCUUAACCGGGGAAUGGCAUCGGGGACUGUAUAGCUAGAGGACGGAAGAGGAGAGCGGAAUUCCAGGUGUAGCGGUGAAAUGCGUAGAUAUCUGGAGGAACACCGGUGGCGAAGGCGGCAUCCUGGACCAACACUGACGCUGAGGAGCGAAAGCCAGGGGAGCAAACGGG